rnacentral:rRNA from 1 species
CCUACGGGGGGCAGCAGUAGGGAAUGUUAGUCAAUGGGCGCAAGCCUGAACGAGCAAUGCCGCGUGAAUGAGGAAGGUCUUCGGAUCGUAAAGUUCUGUUGAAGGGGAAAAAGAGCGGAGAGAGGAAAUGAACUCCGAUUGAUAUUACCAUUCGAGGAAGUCACGGCUAACUACGUGCCAGCAGCCGCGGUAAUACGUAGGUGGCGAGCGUUAUCCGGAAUGAUUGGGCGUAAAGGGUGCGUAGGCGGCCUGCUAAGUCUGGGGUGAAAGGUACCGGCUCAACCGGUAUAUGCUCUGGAAACUGGCGGGCUAGAGAGCAGGAGAGGGCGGUGGAACUCCAUGUGUAGCGGUUAAAUGCGUAGAUAUAUGGAAGAACACCAGUGGCGAAGGCGGCCGCCUGGCCUGUUACUGACGCUGAGGCACGAAAGCGUGGGGAGCAAAUAGGAUUAGAUACCCUUGUAGUC